GAGCUAAACCAUUGGACUUGUACUUGCUCCUGACCUCUAUAUACACCAUUGAUUCUGUAUAUACUGUAUAUCAAACUUACUGAACAGGGAGAAGAGGGACUCAUUAGAUCUUUGUUUGGAAUCAAUAUCGGCCUGUGGUGCCGGACGGGUGUAUGUCCAGUCUUUGGGAAAGAGGGCUUUUCUAGACCCCCUUCUCUGGUUGGAAGUAGACCUGGUUAGUAAAUGUCUAACGACUCCAGAGGCAGUUUAGUAAAGAAGUUUUUCUGUCGUGCUGGGUUCCUAAGAAGACCAUAAGAACCUCGAGCAAUUUUCACUUUAGGUAUAGCCCUUUGGAUUACAAAGUGGCUUAUUACAAGCGCAAUUGAAGAAUUGACAGUCACUAAGACGCUUUUAACACAAUAUUUUAGAUAUUUCAUAUACCCCUGAAGAAGUCCUUUAAGGACGAAACGUGUAGGGUUCAUCGAUUAUUGUACACUACCGGCUUGCUCUGAAUAUCCUCCUAAGAGCUCAUACCGUCUAGGUGAGGAGGCCAUUCUAUUAUACCAUCUAAGCAAUCUGAUGUGUAUGAAAUUAAUUGUGAAAAAGCAAUUUAUUACCAUUGUAUUUUACUACCAUUGUAAUUUUUAAAGAAAAAGACUUUGUAUUAAAAAAUCUGUUCAACCAAAAAGUCUGUGGUACUAACUGGGUGUAUUUCUUGUUGGGUGAAUAUUUUCUUUGGUGAGUGGGUUUCUAUGUAGGUCCCAUCUGGAAAAUUACGAAGUGAGAAAAACCCAAGAAGAACCUCUAUUACGGCUUUUGAAUUGAUUAAACUAUCAAUCAACAUAUACUAUAGCGCACUCUGUUUUUUGUAGUGUAUCUACCUUUUUUAUGUCGACCAUUUUCAUGUCGACCUUUUGACCCUGUCAACCUUUUGUACUGUCUACUUUUUCAUGUCGACCUUUUGACCCUGUCGACCUAAUGUCUAUCUAACAUAUGGUGUCUAUCUAUUGACUGUCUAACUAGACACUAUCUAUCUUUAUACCACACCCACCUAGGAAGGUGCCAAUUGAUUAAAAUUAUCAACUUCCCGAGGUUAUUAUAUCCUAUCCAUAUGUUGUCUGUAUUAUUCUCGAAGUCGGAUCUGAAGGUUUUGGCCAAGGCUAUUAGUGGGUUCAUCUGGGCAAACAGAAAACCCAGGAUUUCCCUAUUUAAACUGAGUCAGUCACCAAAAUUGGGGGGGUCAAAUUACCCUGCCUUAGGAGUUACAUGUUGGGCACGAAUUACAGAUACGCAAUAGAUUGGAUACGUGCGACGGAAGACUUCACCAACACUGGCUUGGAACAGGCCUUUUGUCCUGAAAUCUCGCUUGUCAGUCAGUUACAUAUGCGUCCUUCUACCCUUCCAAGUUCCGUCAGAGACAACGUUCUGAUAACCUCUACAUGCGCUGCAUGGAGACUAGCACGUUCUAAGAUGGGCAUCUCCAGUUAUAACACUGUCUUUAUCCCACUGGCCCACAACAUAGGAUUCCACGGGACUGCAGUCCACUCCACUUUAACCGCCUUGUCACGACAAAACACACGAUUAAUUUGUCAGCUGCUAGACCAACGAACACUCUAAUUCUUUCACACUCAAGCUUAAGUGAAGCGUUUCCACAUAUUGAUAUUUCGUUAUUUGUGUAUUUUCAAUUACACCGUUAUAUUAACAGGCUAAUGGCUGAUUUAACGGACGAAGAUAAAUCUAAUGAUUUGGAUAGAUUAUUGCGGCUAUCUCCAGGUGGAAGUCACUCAACAUCUUUACUAUACAUGUAUAUUAGAAGGACUAUUGAUUGGGAAACCACUCAAACGGGAUUAGCUAAAUGGUCCUUAAAUUUCUCGUCUAUGAUGAUUCCGACUAUACUUACUGCUUUUAAUCGAUUGAAUAAAUGCCUCAUUUCAGCUUCAUAGGCUGAAAU